AGAAAACCAACUUAUCUAGAUGUUUCUUCCUAUUCUUCACACUUUUUUUUAGGCUUCUCUUAGUGUCUUUUGACUCCUAAUUUUUUCUUUUUUUACUCUCAGCUUCUGUAGUGGAAUUCCAAGGUCACAGCCUGAACCAAUGGGUGGACUAUGUGAGUAUGUGGGUGCUUGGAGCAGGAGGUGUAGUCUGGAGCCACCCCUUCUGUCUCCGCGAUACUUCCUGAGCAAUCUGAGUCUGUGCAGGUCCGCCUUUUGCCCUCGCCCUUCUCUCCAGUGGUGCGACGGUACGAACCAGGGAGGGUCACUUUCCUCAGCUCAUCCCUUUCUCCAAACUGUUACUGGGAGGGAUGGCAGCAGAGGGGAAGUCUGACACAAUGGCAUCUGACAAGGAAGUGCACAUGAAACAAAGCCGUGACGUUGAGUUCCACCAUGCAGAAAAAAUGGCACCCAUUGAUAUUCAUCUGCACUUGCUGAACACAUCACACUUAAGGUUCACUUGUCCUAGUGUGUCCAAUUGAAUCAUUCAAAUUUGUGUUGAAGCCUACCAGACAAGCAACAGGAAGUUUACGAGCCUCGGGGAUACUUGUUCCAGCAAUUCUCAAGCAGUGUGAGCAGCUCACUGUACCUUCAGAAAAUGGAAUGGCUCCUGAAAUCGCUGUUCUGUCAGUGUUUGCUUUCGUAAUCCUAAAACAUUCCAAUGUGGAAUUACUAUGGAAGUAUGUGGGCAAGUAGCCACACCUUUUGGUGUACCCAGGUUUCCAAUGUAAACUUGAGAGUAAUACAAUGAGUAAGUAUGUUGCUUUGAAUUAGACACUGAAAUACUCUUUCAAAUUUGUAUCUCAGAGCAAAGCAUGAAGCUGUAGCAAAUAAAUUUACACUGUUUUCUCAGUUGUGAUACCACACUGCUUCAUUUUGAAAUUUGAUUCAAUUUUGUUAGUUCAUUCAGCUCUAAUCUGGCUGUGCAUGAGACUUACCCAUGCUUACAUUAUCUUUUCAUACUUUAACAGCCUUCCUCAUAACAUGUUGAAGAUGUGUUACGGGCUAUUAAUAUGGUUAAUCUCAAAGUAUUUGUACAAUGAAUGUUGCUAGCUCUAGUAGGAUGAACUACUUUCACUCCAUGCUCUGCAAUUGUAGUAGUAAAUUCUGAAUUCUGGUGCUCACAAAUGCUCUCCUAUUGCCUGUCCAUUUCACUUGCCUGUGUGAAAUUUGCAACAUUUGGGCCACAUUUGGAUUUGGACCACAGUCCAGUAGCAGAAAUUUUUUGACCUAGCAAAGUGUAAUUGUAUGAGUUCACAAAGAGGAUAUUGGAUAUGUGCUUAAAAACAGCAAAACCGGUCAUAGAACAAUUGAAUUUACAGCAUAAAUAUCAGUACAACAUUUUCAUAAUGAAAAUAAUGGAUCGUAUUUACAUUUAAAGUGCAAAAUGUGGCAAAUACAAUAGCAGUCCAGAUGUAUUAAUUUUAUAUGAAGAGAAACAGUUUAAUUUAUUACUUGGACAAUUUAAUAAGGAACAUUUUCUGGUGACAAGCUGGUUAAUAAGAGCAGGCAGUCAGAACUGAUUGUGCUUAGAGAGCAAAUGGUAGUUUUUAAUCCUAUAUGUUCAAUUAUAAUUUAUUCUGUUUUUCUAAUGGGAAAAUGAGAAUGCAUACAGUUGUUGCAAUUACGAAACAUCCUCUUCCCUCCACCUUUUUUUUUUUUUUUUUUUAACUACUUUAUCUAUUUCUUAUUUUAGAAUCAAUUUACAGCUUGCUCAAUUUUAAGUUAGACAACCAAAUAUUUGUCGGUUGCUGGUUUUUGUUGUUGUUGUUUGUUUGUUUUUGUUUUUUUUUUUUUCCUUCUCAGCAAAUUUGGCUUUCUGGAGUGCCUUCUUAAAGUUCUGUCUUGUUUAUCAUUUUCUUUUUUUUUUAUAUAUAAAGGUCAAGUUCUGUCUUUCUUACACUGUACUUACCCUUAAUAAACUUUUCAUUUUUAUACUCCUCCAUAUCUUUCAGUGACCCAAUGCAUGACUCCUCACUGUUAUCUGCUGUUGUAAAGAAAUACCAACACUAAGAGCUGACCUCCAAAAACAUGGCUUAAUAUCAAAUGCUUUAUGUUAAUGUAGAAUGAUUUAUUAUGUUAGUUGUAUUACAUAUUAACACCUGUAUGGUGUGGAAAAAUUUCUUUGGAAGAUCUCAAUGCUGAAUUUGCCAGACAUAAUACUUACUCCAAAUGAGUAAAAGUGCUUACAUAUCAGUAUCAAUAUUGUUAUAGUAGUAGUAGUCUGUAAGAUUUUUAAUUUUCCUGACAAAUUACUGUUUAGAGUCUUCCUUACUAAGAAGAGGCUGAUAUAAUACUUUCCAGGAAAGACUUGCUUUUCAGCUAUUAGCAGUUCUUAUUUAGUUGAAUUACAAUAGCAUCCACAAUGCGAGUGGCACAUUCCAAGCUUAAAAUGAUACCUCAUUUGCUCAGAGAGUCUGUGAUCCUUUUUACUGAAUCAGUGGAGUUACGCCAGGUUAUGCCAUCUGAAGAUUUGGCCCUCAGUAGUACACAACAUUCUGUUUUCAAGGACCAUUACUCAAAUAGAAUAACCUUAUCAAGCUGAAGGCCAAAUGUUUGCUGAAUCAAAUUUCAGCCCGGGAAUUUCUUUUCUCUAAUUGAUGUGAUAAAAAACAAAAGUGCAGUAGAUGGAUGAACAGUAUAAAAGUUAUCUGAGAUUCCUUCUUCUCACUUCUAGAAGAUACUCCUUAUGGGCCUAUGGAAAUGAGACAUAUGACUUUCAAAAUGGAGAGUGAUUUUUUUUGUUUGUUUGUUUGGAAUGCUUAUGUUAAAAUGUCUAAUUUUAAUGAUGGCAAUUUUUAUACUGUCAUUACAUAACACUAAUGGCUAAGUUUUGGUUGUCUAGAACUUAUGGACUGACAAGUAAGCAUUCAGAUAUCUCUAUGGCACACUAAUGUCUGCACUGUGAUAGCUGCCUAGGUGAGAUGUUGUGAUUAAGAUCUUAUCAUUUCUGUUACUAAGGCUACCAGAAAAAAAAGAAAAAGAAAAAAAAAAGUUUAAGUGAGAGAAUAAAUGAGUUCUUAAAAAUAAUGUUAAAAUGGAGGCUGUAUGAAUUGCACUUAGCAUCACAAAGUCUGAACAGUGCAGAAAGAUUUCUUCAGUUUCCAUUUGUGUUGCAUUAACACACACAGCAGGCGAUAACAAAGUACUUCUUUGAUGACUUAGUACUCACAAAGAUUCCAUUGAGCAAAGAAUUUGUGGACAAAAAAGAUUUUCUGGGGCUUUGCAAUGAAUGAAGUGUUACCUCAUAAUGACACAGACUAACCGAAAGUAGUAUAAUACAGGGUAAAUUCUAUACCAUUGUAUCUAUGGGUAAAAAUAGAUUGGAAUAUAAAAGGUUAUUACUUACACAGGGAUUAUUAUUACCAAUAUGCAUUCACAAGGUUAGAAAUGACCUAAAAUCCCCAUUUUAAGGAUGACUCUUGCAAUCCCACAGUUUCUAAAGCAGAAUGCUGACGAUGGAACUAAUGGAGAAACUCAGAUGGCCAGCAGUGCCCAGUACCUGCCCUGUCCAUCUAGUCUGGCACUUCUGAUGCCUUGUUCAAGAAACAAUUCCUUGCAGGUGUUCAGCCUGUGAACUCAAGUCAUUUCAUUGCCUCGUGCCAGGUCACAUUACUGUAUCUUCAAAAGUUAAUCAAAACUAAUCCACAGAUCUGCCUUGCUGUGAAUGCUGCCAUAAUACUGGGGCCAGCAUUUAACGGAAAGGCAGCCAAAUAUGUUGGUAGCCCAGGGGCACAGACCUGAGCUGUGCAAGUGAGAAGCCUUAUAGAAAAAAAUGCACUAUUUUAUUGGGACUGAUGGAUAUUUGGGUAUUUAAGGUGGAUUAAUGGAUGACAUAUAAGAUUUUUGAUUUUAUUUUAAUUUAGUCUUCUUUCUACUCCAUUAAGUGUGUACUAUAUGUUUGGUAGUGUUGUUAACAAAAUGAAUUUACAUCCAUUUGACACUCUGAAAAUGUGGAAGUCCUAGGAUGGCUUAGGAUGAUGAAAGGUGAGAAAAUAGAAUGGGUAUUUUUAGGAGAAUUUAACCAAACUGGCAAUAACUUGGGAUGAAGUAAGUUGUUCAUCUGUAUCUCCUAUCACGCUCACUCUGUUGCCAGGCUGUCAGCUGGUUCAAGUGCAAAAUUAAAAUAUAGUUCCCUGGUACUGCAAUGACAGUUUAAGUAGUUUCUUUUCCUGACUGUAUCUUCCAGUGCUGAGUCCCUGAAAAUUGCUUGUGAGGGUGUGAAGUGUAUCAAAUCAGAUCAGAGGACUGAUUUAGAUAAAUAAAGUCAAGGAGGGGGAAAUUUUGUUUAAAAUCUUGUUUUGUUCCCUGGUCUGGGAUCAGGCAAGGGACAGCCCUGCCAGUAUCUGUGUGUGUGCAACAUGAUGCAGAAAAGGAUCAGGAAGCCACAAGCAGCAGUGAGGAGCAGUAAGAGGAGGCACUGAACACCUCUUGUCAUGAAAGUGGGCACUGUCACCAGUCAAACACCUAAGGUAGAGUACUGUCAGAGGAAGUUUAUGAGAUAUGUGAGAUGAUGGCAGGUCUGCAGUUGCAAGAAAGACCAGUAGGGACUAGAACCAGUCAUAUGAAUUGACUUGUCCACAUAUGUGAAUAAUGUUGUAUGAAACAUUAUUUAAACAUUUCUUCUAGAAAAUUUAAAACUUGGUUGAAGAUCACUCCAAAAUUAUUGCAUCCUAUUUAUUUCCAUGGGAACUACAGUAGAUACAAAGAGCCCAAAAGCACUAUUUGAUAAAACAAUUUCAGCUACAUAACAGUAUUUUUCAACUUAGUCACCACCAUUAGUUAUGCAUUUUCACCAACUGUGAACAAGACCAUGCAUGCCAUGUUCAUAAGAAUCUGCAUGGCUGUCUGGAACGUGGCUUGACUUCCAUGUUCAUGUUACCACUGCUGAAAUGAACCACCCACCCACCGCCUCACUGUGCUCAAUUUGACUGUUUGAUCUCCAGAAAUGUUAAGCAAAUAUUGAUAAAUGUCAAUGGGUCCAUAUUUUUCCCGUGGAGGAAUUCAGUGACACGCCUUUGCUUCAUAUGUACUUCUGUAUCAAUCACCACUCUAUCAGACUGCCCCUCUGCUGCCAUCUGUCUCAUGGUAAAAAAAUGUAAUGGCAUAUUGGUGGGAAACUUCAACCUCUACUGACAUAUCACCAACAUCUGACUCUGAUGUCAUGGACCAAUGUAAUAAAAUAGGAGACAUUACUUUCGGAGCAGAAUGACUGAGUUAGAGAUUAUUACUUUUUUACAGUAUUAUUUUUCCCAAAUGAUUAGGAGUGAUAAAGUGUGGGUUUUGUUGUUGUUGUUGCAAGAGCUCCUUGAGCAUAUACAGAGUAGGCAUCCAUGGAACUGGAUCUUCUGUUUUUUGAGUGACUUUUUUCCUGCAGCUGGGUGCAACUUUCUUUGAUUUGACAGAGUUCAUCCAAUUGUUUACACAUUUUGUGUCACUACUACUCAAUUUUUACGGUGUCUAUAUUACUGGAUAACAUUUCUAAUAAAUGUAUGAAUUUGUAAAUCUGUGAAUCAUUCAUAAAUCUCUUUCUGCCUAUUUCAGAAAUACUAGAAAAUAUUCCAUAGUUCAGAUAAGAGGGUAUGAGAUCAGUGCAAAUACUGUCUUGUUCACUCACCUCUGCUCAUGGAGGAAAGACACAUCACCUCUUCUUUUAAGUUCUCACAAACGCCUGUUGAAAACUUGAAUGAAUCCGGAUUUCUUUCCCUAAUAUUUCAUGAUAUUUUUAUGAAAUUACUUAUCUGUAAAUUAUGACAUUUGUGCAUGUGUUUAACAUGCAGAUGUGUAUAUAUACGUAUUAUUACACUGAUAGCGAUGAGUUCAAAGAGGAUUUUUGAAUAUGUAUUUCAGAUUCAUGCUUGAACUGCAUAUGUCUUAAAAAAUUUGAGUCAAAUUAACUGUACCAUAUUGUUAGCUUGUAGUCGUUCUGUACUUUGUUGAUAAUAUUCAUUUAAAACACUUAACUUGCCUGCUCAUUGAUCCCAUGUAUUUAUGCAGAUCUGUGCUCACUUUUAAACUGAGUUUCCUCAGGAAGAAUACAAAUAUUUUUCAGUUUUGUUUUGUGAGCCAUAUGUUCAAGAGCUACUACCACUUUGCUGUUUCAAAUUUCUUUGCCUUUUCCUGCCUUUACACUGUUGUAGAAAUUCACUAGUACAGUCUAAAUACACCAUAAAAAUAGUAAUGGAAAGUUUCUAAAGCAAUAUAGUUUUAUCAUGAACUCAUACUUAAUAGGUUUUAUCUAAUAUCCCUUGUUACUCAGCUGUUCUCUAAAAAUGCAUACCUUUCUUCACAUGUUUUAUGAGUCAGCUUUUACAUAUGUAUUAUUAUUUGUUCCUUUUUCUUAGCCCCAAAACUGUGUAUGUUGCUUUUUGUUAUUGUUGUUUGUUUGUUUGUUUGUUUGUUUUUAACUGUUUCUGGGCACCAGAAAAUAAUUUGUUUUCAUUAAAGCAUGAUCACUGCUUUCUGCAUGCAGUUUGGCUCUGUCUUGUGUUCAUGUGUCCAAUUCCAUGCUUGGUACCCAUUCUUCUCUUUGGUGAGGAUGUAGUCUCAAGGGAUCAGAGUAAGAGCAAGUGAGACCCUGGGAGCAAUUCGUCAAGAGAGGCCACUAGCGAAAAUGAUACAGUCAAACUAGAUGACAGUUUAAGCCUGCUAGCAGCCUUAAUGUCUGUGAUGUUUGCUUCAGGGAAAAUACAGUGAGGAGGUGAAAGUGGCCUCAUUUCAUGAAAGAGAGGAAAAGUAGAACUAAACCUCUGGGACAAGAGAGAAGCGACAGAAUCUGUCCUUAUCAUAGCUUUACCUUGAGUAUAUUUGUCCUGAGCACUGUGAGUAUCAAAUCUCAGUAAAUAUAGCCUGGGAAAUAGCCAAAUUUACAUAAUUGCAACUUGAAGUUUUUAUCAUCUCUGGAUUUUAAUUGAUGUUCAGAUAUCAUAUUGGCAUCUCCAGUGAAAAUUCUGAAUGCUAAGAAACAUAAAUUCAGUCUCUUUAAGGCACUCAUGAAAUGCCUGUCCCAUUCAGCAUUAACAGCAAAGCACUGAGCACUUGUUUAAAUCAAAGCACAGUUUAAAUUUCAGUGACUGGAAUCCUCUACAGGAUUAAGUUAUAAUACCUUUGGAUACCUGUCCGUAAAGCUAGCAUUCUGGUAUUCCCUAUACUUUGCUAUCAGAGUUAUGUUUCUGUAACUACUGAAUUUGAUUCUAGAGUCUGAAGUAUUUGCUGUGCAGAUCACAUUUCCUUUUUUUUGUUGAGGUGUUUUCCUGACAUAUAAACUUGAGAUGUAGGAUAGAUAGUUCUCAUUUCUUGUUCCACUAGAAUACUGUGCCAUUAAAUCCAAAGAACUGGUUACCUUUUCAUAGUAGAUUUAUCAGGUGCUAUCUGGGGCUACAUAUUUUCAUUUCCAAGCAAUACUCUGCUCUGCCUUAUCAUUAUUUUUGGUAUUUUGUUCACAGUUAUCUUCCUCCCUCCUCCUCUAUUUCCCUCCCUCCUCCUGUCCCUCUCUCUUGUUGCUAUUACUUGAUAUUUUAAAUCUUGUUAAUGUUUAACAAGUGUUAUUACUCUCAAGAUUCAUCUAAACUUCUGUGAUUUACUGAAUAUCAGUAAAUGUCAAUAAUGAUUCAAAAUAUUUUGGCUAACAUUUGUUGAAGCAUGGCAUAAGAGAAUUCAGUCUCAAAAAUCUCAGUCUUGGCAUUACAGAAUCCCUGUGGAACAGCUGCAUCAAAUACUUUGCAUUAUUUAUGACUGAAGUAACAGCAACUUUCUGCUUGCUCACAUUUUUUUCUUUUUGUCCCCUACUCAAUAACAUUCCAGUUUCCCUCUAGACAAAAAAAAAAAAAAUUGUAAUCAUUAAUCAGAUGGAAGUUCACAUACCUUUCUGUAAUUAAUUGAGGUAGUUAUGUACCUUCUGAUGAAACUAUAUUCUACUGAAUGUAUCAUCUUGACAUUAAAAUGCUUCACAAUUCUCUUAGGUAGAAAGUCUUGGAAUUUCUGAAUUUUGCUUUGAUUCUAAUUAAACUCGAUCCUCAAAAUGAUAAAAACCAAUGUCUUGUCCUUAUAAAAUUUGCCUGAUUCACAGCUAUUAGCAAUUUUUUUUCUUCAAUUUUUCUUCUUUUUGGUAAGAUGAUUACCCAAAGUAAUUCAAUGAUUACCCAAAGUUACGCAUAAUUCAGAAGUCUGAUUUUUCAUUCCCGAGUUCAGCAUCACUGAGAAAUCCAUCAUAAAACUCUUUUUUCACCUCCAUAAAAAACACAUAUUUUGAAGAGAUGAAUAAUACAUUAAAUAUGCCAGUAUAUUUUUGUUGUAUCAUUAAAUUUUUUAAUAAUUAUUUCUGAAUACCAAGUUAAAAUUUCUUUGGCUUCUUCAUAGACAAUUCAAUUGUACACUCUGAGAUAAUUGUGUUUAAGGUAAAUUAAAAAUCACCACCCACUGCUUCACCAAGAAAUCACCACCUAUAUUGAAGCUGCUGCUUUUAAGAGCUGAUAGGAUCAUUUUGUGUUAAAUUUAAUUUUUAAAAGCUGUCUUCUUACACUUUUUUUGACUGUAGAGCCUUUUCUUUGAUCAUGCUUGUUACUCUGGAUUACUGCAUCCAGGCCUGGAGCCCGCAGUAGAGAAAGGACGUGGAGCUCUUAGAGUGGGUCAGGAGGAGGACCACUAAGAUGAUCAGAGGGCUGAAUCACCUCUCCUAUGAAGAAAGGUUGAGGGAACUGGGCUUGUUUAGCCUGGAGAAGAGAAGGCUCUGGGGAGACCUCACUGUGGCCUUCUUGAAGGGAACAGAUAAACAGGAGGGGACUGACAGUUUAUGAGGGUGGGUAAUAAUAGGACAAGGAGGAAUGGUUUUAAACUGAGACAGUGGAAAUUUAGGUUAGAUAUUAAGAGGAAGUUUUUCACACAGAGGGUGGUGACGCACUGGAACAGGUUGCCCAGGGAGGUUGUGAAUGCUCCAUCCCUGGAGGCAUUCAAGGCCAGGCUGGAUGUGGCUCUGGGCAGCCUGGUCUAGUGAUUGGCGACCCUGCAGAUAGCAGGGAGGUUGAAACUAGAUGAUCUUUGAGAUCCUUUUCACUCAGUCUAUUCUAUGAUUCUAUGAUUCUACGAUAACACUUGCACCCUUUGUUACCCUUAAGAAAGAAGGGAUACCACCAAGUAAAGUAAUUUGCAAAGUGACAGAGACAAAGAAUGUUGAUGUGAUUUAUUUUGCUCCUGAGUUGAUCCACUGUUUCCAGAGAUGCACAGUUUAAUUUUCUGCUUGUGCACCAGGUUGUUGUUCUGACGUUUUUCUUCCUACUUUCAUGGUUACUUUAAGCAUACUUCCCUUUUAUGAAUGGAAAAUUAUGAACCUUUGUAAAAUUUGACCUUUUAUACUGAACAAUUAUUGCUUCUCUAAGCUGUGCUUUAUUAUCCAGCUUUCCAAGCAUUUGCAAGAUCGGCACUAAACACAGAAACAAUUAUAUUAAAACUGGAAUUGCAGCUGAAGCCAUGAACAGGAAAUCCAUGCUCAGUUACAUUCUCAUACUUAUUUAAAGAAAAUUAAUUUCAGGAAAUUGAUAAUUAACAGAACAUUUUAGCAUAGAGAUAUGUUAUGUUGUAUAUAUAAGUGAAAUAUUUAGAAGUAAUCUUUAUGCCCAGUUAAAACACACAGAAUACACAAGACCACAUUAAAUAAAGCUUUGGAAUUGGAGCCAUGAGGAACUACUGAAGAAGUCUGGAAGCUGAGCAGCAAAAUCUUUCUAAAACAAGAAAAAUGUGAUUCUACCUGGCAAUUAGAAUAUGGUUUUGCAUUGUUUUGUUUGAAAUUAAUUAGUCAGAUAAUUACAUCAGUGAACUGAAUAAGGGAAGGUUCAUUAGAAUAGAAGUAUUGCAGUGACUUUAAAAGAGAUUCAAAUACAGUCCAAAUGUGAAUAAUGCACCACUCAACCUAAAUAGUACGCUGUGCUGGUCUGCUGCAGUGCAGUAUACCUGGCACUUUUCUGCAGGUAAAUGAUGUGGGCUGAUGCUCUGCUGUGCUUGUUUUGACUAUUUCCAUGCAUGCUGACUGAUUUUUGGAUUUCUGCUUUUCGCUUUCUUGAUGGCCUUGCAUGCACCUGUUAUUUUCACAUUUAGAUAUAUAUAUGUACACAAACUGUGUGGCUAUAAGCUUAUAUUAUUUAUUUAUGCAAUAAAUGUUCUGAACAUGAUUUUAGUUUUUCAAAGAUGCUGAAGAGAUCAUACAGUCAUUUGGAGGCAACAGGCUGCGCCAGCUCUUAGCCCCUCAGCAAAUCGGAAUCUUAAUGAUCCUCAACUCCUUUGUGAACCUAACUGUAUUUAAAAUUGGAGUUAGAGUGCUAGCUCCAAAAGCAGAAUGUAGACUGUAUAAACACAUAGUGUCAACUGUAAGAAAGUUCCGAGUAUGUAGUAUAUAUUUUUAUAGCGGUUUUAUCUCAUAUCAGAAUACAUAAUUGUGGUUUUUUGAGUUUAUUACAUCAAUCUUUGUUUUUCACCAACCAAUAAAUAAGGACUGAUAAUUAUAUUUUUAUUUUUAAUAAUGGUUUACAAAAUAAUAUUAAAAACAUUAAUAAGAAUUUUUUUCUCCAUAAACAAUAGGAAAGAGCAUCACUGUUUUGCAAUAUUUUCUUUCUAAAUUCAAAGAGCUGUAGUAUGUAUGAUUUGCAUUCCAACAACACUAUUACUUUAAAAUUCAGUAUUUAUGAAUAAAUUAAUAUAUACCGUUUUAGGCACUCAACUUCUCAGAGACUGUGUUCCUGAAGUAUCAAGGGUGCAUUUAAUUUGCUGAAUAUUUAGGACAUACAAUGUAAUGACAUGUAAUGUCUCUCUUGUGUGCUAAGGUAAUUGACUUUAUGCUUAUGAACCUAAUUUUCUUGAAAGAAUAUUCUUUAUAUUAAUUCAAUAAAGACUAACCAGCUUUAGUUGCUUUCAAAACAAUGUAUUUAUUGCCAAGAACAUGCCUACUUUCUCCAGGAAUAGAGGAAAGUUGGCGUCUUAGUUUUCACCACAGAAGGAGUCUUGGCUGCAAAACUGUUCUCAUUACACACACAACUCCCUAGACAAGUUUUGUAGAACUAUAUAUGAUCAUUCACAUUAUUUCAAUUUAUGGUGUAACUGGGUGCCAGAGCCUUUGAGCUUUGGCCCAAUAUGAGCACAGCACAGGUUAUGAUAGGGCAGUAUAAAUGAAAAACGCUUGACCAUUACACAAAGGAUACAGAUAGUGUUGCUCUGUAUCAAGUAGUUUACUGUGCAGUAGUAUGGAAAGUCUAUUACACUGGUUUUAUCACUACAAAUGCUGUCUCAGGACAUCCAUCACAUGGUCUUGAACAAACAAGGACAAAUAGCCACUUGCUUAUUAUACACUGCAUUCUCAAGACAGUAGCCCUUUUCCUGUUUCAGGGAAUGCAUUUCCAAAGCAAUAUUGAUUUUUCUGUCCUUCUUUUCUUUCCUCUCUCUUGAAGAUCCCACUUCUAGAACUAUCUUUCAUCCUUAAGCUGUUUGUCUUCUCAGAUAGGAAUAUGUUUAGUCUUUUUUUCAUUUUUUAAACAAACUUGUAUUUGUGGAAGAUAAUGUAUAAAUGAUAUGCUGGCUUAUAUACAUGGUAGCAGAGUGCUUUUACUGAUCCUUUCAGGACACUGCUAUUGUAAACUUCUGCUGAUAUAGGGCUGGAGGAAUCUCUAAAAAGAGGUGAUUUGUUUGAAAUGUCACUGUGAAGCUGUUAAUCAGGCCAAAGCCUUCUGAAUCAAAAGUUCCCUUGUAUGGUUCCUUGUUUUUAUUUGCUGUCACCACUGUGCCUGUUCUCAAUGAAAAAUAAAAUACCUGCCAGAAUGAAAAUGCAAAGCCAGUUAGCAAACAUAUAACUUAUAGUUUUAAGACUAGGAGUAAGAAACCUAAGUGUUUAAAUGUUCUAAUAUGUGUGUUCAUGAAAACUCAUGUAGAUGGAUUCCCCACGCAGAAUGUAAGAGGGAAGAAAAGACAUCAACAACAAAAAUAAAAAUAAAAAUGCUAAAAAUUCAAGAGGAGCUUACAGCCUGCCCUCAGCUGCCUUCUGUGCAAAGAGACCUUUGACCAAAGUAUUGAAGCUCAGUCUCCUGGAAAAUGUUUUGAUAUAACACUGGCCUUUACCAUGUAAUCUUAAAUGUUUUUGAAUAGUAUUGCUGUAAAUGUGCUUUAUGAUGAGAGCAAACACGGAUUUUUGAGUAACCUCUUUGGCAGUUAGUGAUUCAGUUGAGACUUACUAUUUAUAUAUGUGAAUUUUUUUCUUUUAUACCACUCUCUUUCAAAUGCUUCUCCCUUUAAAUUCAAACAAGGUCAUGCCUAAAUAUUCCCAAUGUGAAUGACAUUUUUUUUUUUUUUCCCUCAGAAUAUAUUCACAUAAAUUUCACUUUUCCUUGAGAACUUUGUAGACAAAGGUAAAUGUAUGCCAAAAUAUUACGGGGAAAAUGUUACCUUUGAUCUUAGUUUCUUUCCUUUAGAUUUCAAUAUUAUACUUUUUGCUUGUUAUUAAUCCAUUUUUUCAUUUAUUUUGUUAAAAUUUUAUCUUGCUAACGAGUUUACAAAAUAAAUACACAGGAACUGAAUAAGGUUAUUAAGCGUUCUUCAGUUUAAUUUUUUUCCCAAAAUAUCCUAUAUGAAGUUUCCUACAGUUGUAGACAUGAUCUUUCUUGGUUUUAGAUUUCACUGUAACAUGUUUUGAAAAACUUGUUCUCUACAUCAAACAAAAAGAACUUCUCUAGUAACAUCAUAGGAGUAUUCAUAGGACAACCUGUAAUUUAUGACUUCUGUUUGAUCAUAGCCUUUUUAAUUAGAAACAUACUGCAUCCAUUUAACAUUGCUACUGUUUUGUUGCAAAAGAUUUUCUGUAUCAAUUAAUCUGGUAAUAUCCCUAAGCAAGCUGAAAUUGUUGAAGAAGAUGGAAAUUGGCUGAUGAAUGUAUUGGUCACUUCAGAGCCAUGUACAAAUCUAUCUUCUUGCUGUCCUAAUGAAUAUGGAAGCCUGCCCAGUGUGUGAUUGGAUUUUAAUGACUACAAGGUCAGGGACUUUGCAAGGUGUGAAUCUGCUUGCAAGGUCACUAGUGGCAAACAGUGCAUGGAUCUGAAAAUAAACAAGGAGCUGUCAGGGAUAUUAGCUUUUUGUAGAAAAACCCUUGGGAUGAAAAGGUUAACAGGUGAUUGCAUUGUAACUUGUUUUGAAACUCAAAAUGAGCUCUAAAGCUAUGUGCAUUAUCCUUCAUUAUGCAUUGCAUAAGAAAUAGUAGUAAUUUAAAAUGCAGCCAAUGUUUGAUUAUAAUAGCAGCAUAGUUUAUGAAAAGCUUGCAUUUACCACUACAUAAACUGGUCUGCAAAAUCAACAUAUGCUCCAAAUGCAGAUUUUUUGGAGAAACAGGUGAAUUUACCUACUCUAAACUGCCCAUGGAUGCAGAAAUGAAUUUGCCACCCAUAGAGAACACAGACUAGUAGUUACCCAUGGAGAUUCAAGUCAUGUGUACAGCAGUUAUACUGUUUAUUAAUUUGGUAUUCUGUAGAGAUUGUUCAAGCUGUAGAAAAGAGUAAUAGGAAAUGAGUCUGAAAGUAUUAAGAAAGUUUAUAAAUGACUUGUCACAAGGUACUUGACUUACGAUAGAACGGAGAAGAAAUGACUCCUAAAUGAGAAAAAUACAAAGAAAAUCUUCAGUGGCUGAGUGCCUUCAGAGAGGGGAUGCCACUUUUUUUAUAUAUAUUUUUUGGUAGGAUAAGAAGUUAAUAAGUUAAUUUAAUAAAAAGAAAAAUCAGAGCUCUUGAAAAGUUUUCUGUAAGUUUUUUGGGCAUUGAAUAUGUCCAUGAGUAGGUUAGAAUCAUAGAAUCAUAGAACUGCUCAGGUUGAAAAAGACCUUAAAGAUCAUCGAGUCCAACCACAACCUAACCAUACUACCCUAAUUCUAACAGCCCUCCUUUAAAUCAUGUCCCUGAGCACAUCCACAUCCAAAUGGCUUUAAAAACAUUCAGGGAUGGUGACUCAACCACAUCCCUGGGAAGCCUAUUCCAAUGUUUAACAACCCUUUCAGUAAAGAAGUUUUUCCUGAUAUCCAAUCUAAAGUUAGCCUGCUGCAACUUGAGGCCAUUUCCCCUUGUCCUGUCCCCUGUCACCAGUGAGAAGAAACUAAUCCCGUUCUUGCUGUAAGCACCUUUCAGAUAUUGGAAGAGAGCAAUAAGGUCUCCCCUCAGCCUCCUUUUCCCCAGACUGAACAGACCCAGUUCCUUCAGUCUCCCCUUGUAGGGGAUAUUCUCCAAGACCUUCACCAGCCUUGUUGCUCUUCUUUGGUCCUGCUCCAGUGCCUCAAUGUCCUUUCUGUACUGAGGUGCCCAAAACUGAACACAGUACUCGAGGUGAGGUCAAGGCAUGGCUUACAGCUGCUUAUACCAAUAAGAGGUUUCAUCUGUUGAGCAGGGUGAAAUGACAUUUUAACAGAAUAUUGUAGAAUGGAUUUAAGUACUUAUUUUUCAAUAUCAUAUGGAAGUCUGCUAGCAUAAUGAUCCAGGAACCCUCACCUUUGGAGCAAACUAUCCAGCUUUAUUGCAGUCUGAAGGGAUUUUGUUAUUUCCUUUUUUUUUUCCCCCUCCCACAGGUAGUACACCUAUACAUGUAUACCUUUAGAUAGAGUUUCUCAAAUGACUUCUAUUCUCUAUGUGUAGAUAGGAUGCCUAUGUAGUAAAUGCCAACAGUGUUUCGGCUUACAUGGGUCUGUGUGAUUCCAUAAUCGUUCAUGGUCCCGUGGUUAAGCUGUAUAUCGGUGAUACCUGCUUUUGUAAUUCAGCAUAAGAACCUUUAACACACAUAUUGCACUUGAGUUAAUGCUAUACUAGUCAAAAAUAACUAGAAUGUAGCUGUACGUUCAGUUGCCAGCAUUUAAACUCUGCAUUUAAAAAAAAAAAAGGCUAAGAUUCUUUGUUGUAAAUGAAAAAUAGAUUAUAUCUUCCCAAAAUAAUCUUUCCAGGCUUAAUUAGGUAACACAGUCAAUAAUACACUGUCAUGGAAAAAUAAAGAAUAUUGUCAAGAUAGAAGGCUUGGUUCGGAACUCACCUUGUGUGUUUACUGUAAUCUUUUAUGUUAUGAGAACCUUCCAUUCUUUUCACAGUCCUUAGUGCAUCAGCUUUAUGUUUGUGUUUCUGUCUGUGUUUCUGUUACAUUAGAGAAAAGAAGAAAGGUAGUUUGUUUCUCUUCCUGAAGAAUACAAUAUGAAGAAUCCCUUGCUCUUUCUGCAUCAUAACUAGGUACCAGAGGGGGCAACAACUGUAUUUGUGAAUCUACUGUUGAGCUGAUGAUGGUUUGAAAGCAAAAAGAAUUUCAGUUCUGAUUUUAUUUCUUUAUGGCAAAUUGAAAAUGUUAACAUGGACUAUUCUUUUUAAAUGUCUAGUUUACAAUAUUUUCAAGAAUGAGUAAGUAAAAAGUAAUGGUCUAUUUAGUUCUAGUAGUAAAAAAAUAAUAAUAAUACCUGUUAAUACAAGUUUCACCUUUGGAAGGUGCCUUGUUUAAUGCAUAAUUUUAAUGAAUGUUUAUUCUAAGACUUAUUAACAGUCAGUAUUACUUAUAUAAUAUGUAAUGCUUUUUUUAGGAAUACAAAUCGUACCACAUUUUUGUAUCUGUUGUUAACUGUUGUUCUAUUGAAUUGAUUUUCAAACCAUAUGUCAUGUGUUAAUUUUUUCAUAUACGUGAAAUUUGCAGAGUUAAAUUCUUUCCUUUAUGGUGUCAUUUGGAUUUUUGAAGUUCCAAACUGUAGGCAAUUUUGACAGUCUGUUCUAUUCCAGCAGAUUCCGCUCUUGGCUUCUUAUACAGAUACAAAGACAGUAAGUUUGGCUUCCAAGUCCUCUCAUAUUCUACUCUUCUUGCAUCCUUAUUAAAUUUUCUUAUACUUCAUUCUAUAUAUGUUUCAUUGUGCCUUUAGGUUUCACCUAUUUUAACAACAGAUUGUCAAUACUUUCUAAGUUCAAACUCUUUCCCACUGAUUAUCUAUGGACUUUGGUUGUGAUAAAGCAAAAUGCCUAAAAUUCCAGGUGUUUAGUCAUGUUUGGUAAAAACAGAAUCUUGCGGUUUAGAAUAUUAACCUGUUUUACUUUUUUGUAAUCGUCUGUUUUAAUUCAUCUGAUAAUGGAUUCUACAGUCGUUCUUAAUUCAGUUUCUCAGCUUUAGAGAGACACACCAAUGCUUACUGAAUUAUGUAGCUGUAAUGCUAAAUCAUUCUUUCAAGUUUUAUGCCACCAGAUCUGCAGUAACUAAAAUGGCAAUCCUAGAUACAAAUGACAUUUCUCAUAUAAAAAAAAAAUUCUAAUUUUCUGCAAAUUGCACCUAAUUACUCAUCCAACAGAGGUAAUGUCCACGGCUUUAGGUAUCAGGAAGAUCUCAUCUUCAAUGGAAACUCCACUCACGCUCUGCAGUCUGCAUGACUAGUAAUGAUGCCGGAUCAAAGAAACCACUGUCCUCUUCUGCUCUGUUUUUAGUAUCAUUCCCAUUACUGGUAGAACCUUUACUGUGAAAAGAUUAGGUUUGAUUUUUCUGAAAAUUUGAUGAGUGAUUAGUUUUAAAACCCUAGCCAAUAAGGAGAAUAAUUUAAGGACAUCAGAUCCAGUCUGCCACAGUGGAUAAUUAGCAAGCCAUCAUGAGACAGUUCUGCCUGUCUGGGCAUUAAACAUUUAUGUCAGUGACAAGACAUUGAUCUCUCUCCACCCCACUGUGAGAAUGAGACACCAUCAGCUUCCUCCAUCAGGAGAAGGCCCACAAGAUUACCUUUGCCUCUGAGGACAUGGAGUGGGAAGUAAAGAUGAAGAGCUGUUCAAUUGUAGAAAAAAACUCUGUCUCUUUCAUUUUUCCUUUAAAAAUAGCUGGGGCUCCUAAAAAGGAAUGAUUAGUAAAGUUGUGAGAAAGUAGGGAGACGGAAGGUUAUUCAUGAAAAUUAAAUCAGUAUGUAGAUAUGGAGAAGAGUGACACAAUAUGUACUGUGGAAAGCAGAAGUAGCACUGCUACUAAACUGUAUGACAGGAAAGGCUGUAAUGUGUAAAAUCAGCUGUGAGCAGAACAGAAGAACUGGGUCAAUUCUGAUAGACAGCAGAGCUCACCCACCAGUCCUUUAGCCUCUCUCUGCCACUAUCAAACACUUCUCACCUCAUGCUUCUGAUGUGUCUUUGCCUGCUUCUAUACCCUUAUGGGACAAAGGUUUCUGUUGAUUCAUGCUAUCUUGCAAAUAAAGCAGUUUUGCUUUUCGUUACGUCCGUGCUGAGGGAGUGAUAUUCAGCAUAGCUGUUGGCUCUAUGAUUGUCUAAAAAUCAAAGAAUCAGUGAGGUGCUUGAUAGUAAAUAUACACGUGACAAAAUAGCAAUGAUGUAAAAGUACUGAAGAUACUUACAAAAAAAUGUCUGUUCAUGUUGGAUUUUCUGCUACUGCAUGCUGAUUUGCCUCUUUAGGUUUGUAAGCUCUGGAGGAAAGGCAGUGUGUUGCCUAUAUGUAUGGAUGUCUGUAUGAAAGAGCUUCAAACUUGUUUGGGAUCUUUGAGUACAUUUAGAACACAAACUCAAAAGUCUUAGGACAGCUGAUCCUGCAAGCAGAAUAUGUUGAGUGAAAAUAGAAUCUUUCUUCUGUGGGAGAGAGAGCCUUGCUCUGUGUACCUCUGCUCAUUUGGUGGCUGAAUUAACACUGCCAUAUUGGAGGUCUGAGCUUCAUUUGCAGCCAAUGCAACAAUCAUCUACUUUGCUUGUAAAAUUCCCAAUGGUAGGUGGAUGUUGCUGGAGAUGUCUAUGGAAUGCUGCUUUUCUAAAUUAUAAUCAGAAAAGGCUUCUGUUUUCCUUUAUUUUCACUCCUCUCCACAAGCUUUUUGACUGGAAAUAAAUAAUGGUCCAGAGGGGUAUUCUGUUUGUUUUCUUACAGAUUUGACAGCUAUUAGUUGUAGGUUUUUUUCUUUAAUAUGGGGGACUGUGGGUGGAGAGGGAAAGACAAGACUGCCCUGAGCACUGAGGAUAUGUAAAAACAAGCUUUCAUUAAAUUGUCUCUCCCAUCAGCUGACGCAUGAGAGGGGCUUGGCAUCUUUUUCUUCCAUUUCCCUCUGAACAAGGAAGUGCAGUUGAUGAAAGACAAGGGAUGUUAGUAUCAUUUUUAAAUUUACCACGUCUGUCCUUUCAGAAGGUUAAUGCCACUGAGGUGGUCUAAGUUAAGAGAAAACAAAGAUUUAUGAGAACAACUGUCACUGUCAGACUUGCCUCACUGUUUAUUAGAAAUUAUUGGAUACUUAAUAUCAAGGGUUGAAAACCUGAGGAAUACUGAGCUGGAUUCACAUAACCGAAUUCUAGAUGUUUAUAUCUGAGUUUGAUAUUUUGAUUCCAUUUGUUGUCGAUGGUACUUUCCAGGUGUGAGCUGUUGUGUCUGUUCUGUCUAUACCUUUGGAUAAGAUUUCUGCUGUCUAAGUGCCUGUUUUCUCCCAAGGUCAGAUGCAUUCAGAUGGAACGGAAAUGAUCCAAAAUCCUAAUUCUAUGAAAUGCUGACAACAAUUUUGUUCAGACAUGGGAGCUUCUCUGAUAUGAAAAAUAUAUAACUUGGCAUCAAUCUAAAUCCAAUAUUAGAAUUUGUAAAUGUUAUAUUUAUGUGUGACUCAGUUUCCCAUCUGUGAAAUAUUCAGAGAGCUUCUUCACUUCAAAAGCACGCUGAAGAUAGUUAGAAAAUAGUGAGAGAAGAGCUUUAGAAAGAAAAGAGUAAGAGGAGGUGAUAAAAUGACCUAUUUAAAAUACUGUUGAAACCAUGCUAGAAAAAGAAUGGAUUAUGCAAAGAAAUAGGCCACACCAUGUCUAACAGAGGAAUUAAAAAGAAAAAGAAUACUAAAUACACAAAAAUACUAAAUGUAACUUUUGUUAUGCUUUAACCUUACAUUCUUGUAGGAAUCUCUACCCUUAUAUUUAGAUUAUUUCUAAAUUAUUCAUUUCUAAAACCAUAACAAGAGCAAAGAGUUGCUGAAAUAGUUCUCUCUUGUUCUUCAAAUUAUUAUACGUUCACUGUGCUUUCCUACUAUUCCAGUCCAAAAAGCAGCUGACCUUUCAUUAAAAGCAUGAGAACACUUUCAGACAAUAUCAGUAGGUUUUCUAAGUUGCAUUUGUCUCAGUUGACUCCCAGUAAUUUCAUAAAGAAGAUCCAGUAAUGUUAUGGGAAUGGACAGCUACUUUAAUGUAAAGAUUUUCUUUUUUCUGGGUAAGCUUGUCUGCCUAUUGGUUUCCUUCUGCCACUUCCAGCUUGUAAAACUCAUGUACUGUGACAUGUGAGCACUCAACACAUAAGAACCUUCAGUUAUCUUCUUAAAAAUAUCUGUAGCUAUAACACGCUAUCUCAUUGUCAAAUUUUACUGUAGAUAAGGGAUUAGAAAUGAAAUUGUAGAAGCAAGCUAAGUGUGGUGAUUCUGUCAUAUUUUAGCCUUUGAAUUUGCUGUCUUAAUAGUCUUUUUAAUGAAGCACUGUAUUUAGUUUUCAGCUUGUUUGAAUAAUUGCCAAAUACUUGUGGACACAAUUUCAAAAUUUAAUUACUUGUUAGAAUUGUGCAUAAUUAUGUCUUUUAUUUAUUUAUUUAUUUUUCUCUGAGCAUAUGAACAGUCUUUUUUCUGAAUUUGAAGGAGUACUGGUGUUCCUACAAAUAUUCCUUGGGCAAAUAACAGUAUUUUUGUGCCAAGAAGGAAUGUUCAUUGUUUGCUAUUCAAGUAAUUAAUAUUUGCUAUACAUUUGACUCAUUUUUUUCUUAUUAGCAUUAGUAUGUUCCCCUAGCAUACAAAAAUAGCUGCUGUUUUAACAGUCUUACAUUUAUAAACUUUAAAUGAUAAAUUACUUCCACAUUCAUUCAGUCUAGAUCUUACAGUUCUUGUCUAGAUAUUACCAUUCUCAGUCCCCAUGAAACUGUGAGCUAGGGAAAUCCUGUCAGCCCUGUUUUACAGACUGGACUUUGAGGGUUACACAGAUUAUUCUGAGUUAUAUCAGUAGGGAGGAGAUCAGAAGAAUGAAUAGUUUGCUACUGAGCCUCUGAGCAGCACUUUCUUUAUCUGUAAGAACACCUCCCAUCUGCAUUAUGAAAAUAAUGUCAUUCACAGUAUAUUUCUAUCCCCCCAUACGAUCGCAACACAUUGUUCAGCACUUCUCAAAGCCAGGAGAUCCAUUUGAAUGCCUAGUCCCAUGUCCACAAAUCAAAGAACCUGGCCAGAUACUUUCUGUGCACUUUCUGUAAAUUGCAUAAGAUGAAGUCCAUCUUCUCCUCCCUAUGCUUUUGUAAUUGUCACCCACCUCUUAGGGGGCUAAUAACAUCCUGUCAGUCAGAAGACGAACGAAGUAGGUGACACACAGUGAUCUAUCUACUCAGUACGAAGGCAGCUUUAAAGAGCCUUGAGCCAGUUGAACUGAAGUGGCUGAGUUGAAGGUGAAGCAGUGGAUAUUGCAGCUGAAAUGGAUGAGUGGUGUUGACAUGGGAUGCUCUGCCAGGAGCAUCACAGGUCAGGCAGAGAGCGGCUUGGUGAUUUCCUCUGUCUAGAUUUGCACUGUGUUCGCCGGCUAACAGCAGUUAGCCAGCUGUGUGCAUGCAUACACACAAAUUCAUGUGGGGUACACAACCAUUCUGGACUCAGGUUGCAAAUAUCUAAAGUUCUGGUGUGUGUAAACAAAUGUUUUCAUAAGGUCUGAAAGCAAAAAUGCAUUGCAUGCAUUUCUACUGACAUGCAGAUAAGGUUUUUCUAUGGGAUGAACAGCUAGAGUAGCAUGAACCAAGCAUUGCUUAGACUAAAAGGGGAUGCUUUUAAUUAUUAUUAGUAAUAAUUAUAAAAAUUAUUUUAAUUAUGCUUGAGGUAGAACUGAUUCCAACUGGAAAGAAGGAGUGACUAAUGUCAUUUUUUUUUCUCGAAGGACUACAGGAUAUAAGAUAGCCAAUAGCCUCUCAGGCUGUCAGCCUCAGAUCUAUCAUGUCAUAUUUUAAUCAUAGUCUUUAUCCAGUCUUGAAAAUGAACAUUUUUUCCUUUGUUUCUACUCUUUCUAAUAGAAAAUAGCCUUACAGUUUCCCAGAUAGUUUGAAGUCUUUCAAUAUCUAGCCUGAUUUUUUUCUGUCAGUCCACACAUAUUUGUUCUAAUGCCAGUGUUGCUAGUACUGCUGAUGAGGUGAACUAGCUUAUUUUCCUGCUUGUUAUUUAGGAGAGUAACUGUAUGCCUCCUGGCUCUUCAUUUUGUUUAGGUAAAUACAUCAAGCUCUUUUACUCUCCUUUUGUAAAUAAAGUUUUUCACUUUACAUCUUAUGCAAGACUAGAGAAAAAAGGAUUUGCUUCAUAACUUGAGGCAAAACUAAUAUAUCAGUAAUGUACAUUUUUAUUUGCAGAAACAUCCAUAGGAAUUGUACCACAUUGAAGAGCAUGCCAUGAAAUACAUAUAUUUGAGGUCAAAGAGAAUAUGACCACUUAAAUCUCUGAAAUACUGAAGCUGUGACAGAUUGCUGCUGGCAGAUUCUGUAGUCUAGAGCUGAUAGUCAUCUCACUGAGUCAAUAUAAGUUCAGUAGUGUAGAGAUGUUGAAGAUCAGAUACAUUUAUCUUCCGAAGUUAAUCAUUGUUUAUCAUUGCACCUCUUAUAUACCAUGUAAACAUCCUGAAUAUUGGUCUUUCUAACUGAAAGUAGAAAAAAAAAAGGCUAACCAAAAAAUUAUGGGUAAAAUUCAUUUUAAAAUAGAACUAAUGAUACUGUGUGGUUGUCAGAGUAUUCAAUCCAAUAUUUUGAACGUGUCAUGGUUGUGUUAUUUUGCUAUUAGUAUUCCACAUCAUAUCAUCAUGGACAGCAUGGGUAAUUAAAGGGUUAAUACUCCAGUUCUGUGGAUUGACAAUCUUCCAGAUACCUGCUUCUCAAAAGAGAAGAAGAACUACGUACCCCAGAGGAUCUCGUGGUCGGAGAAGGAACAUACGUCAUGGAAAUAACGGGAUUUGAGUCAUGUGAUCAGGCUCAUGCUCUCUCUCUCUCACUGCCUGGCAGAGGGAUGGAAGUGCUUCCAAGCCAUGCACCUUCAUGAAGUAGGCCUUUUGGUUUUGGAAACUUUCUCUCUCUUAUUUUACUUGAUUUAUUAUCCUUACUUUCAAUUAGAUUGUAUUAUAUUGUGUUAUCUUGCAUUCCGAUAUCAUAGUUAGUAAAAUAAAUUUUCCUUCUUAGAUCAUUGCCGCUGCUCCAUUCUUUUUUCCCUCUCUGAGACCAGCUCCCGUUCUCCAACCCCUUUCCCUUUUCCCUUCCCAUUUUGGGGAGCCAGGGGGUCCAUGGGCCUACUGCCCCCCUCUCACAGGCAUAGAUUUAUCUAGAUUGAUAUAGGUAACUCUGUGACAGAACCCAAAAACUGACCAAUUAAAAAAGAGAAAAAAAAGUCUUCCUGGAUUUUUUCAUAUUUUAAAAUUUUAUUAUCAGUAAGUAAAUAUGGAAUCCUUUUCUUAUGCAGGAGUUUUAUAUAAUAUGACUAAAACUUCACAGAGUAGAAGUGGAGUUUCACAUAAAUGGUACCUAGAGAAGCUGAGGUAUUGUUUGUUUUUUAGUAUUACUCUUUUAGGAGUUUAUAGAGGGGAAAACAUUGUCAACUAAGUAUCAAAUUCUAAUUUAUUGAAAUCUUAUUUGAAUUUUUUUUUCAUGUGCAUAGAAACUUCAGGCCUCCUAGAGAUUACAGAAACAUAAAGUAUUUGCUUAAACUAAAUUUUCACUACAGUCUUCGUUUAAGAUUUAAUCAUUGUAUAUGUCUGCUAUUUAGGUUGUAGGAAUCUAAGGAUGCAUUUUUGAGCUUUUAUAAGUCUCUACUGUCCCUACUAGAACUUUUGCUUAUUCAGACAACUUCUACACAUGUAAGAGGGCAAAUUCAAGUUGCAGAUCCUUUAUCUUACAUCCAUAAGCUUAUAAACUCAAAUUUGUAAACUGCAUCAUAAAGCAAAGCCUUUUAGUUUUCUUUACCUUUCUUGAGAAUAUCAACGUUUUAUUUGAAAUUGUAAUGCAUAAUAUUUAAAUUAUUCAUUUAAACUGAAAUUCAUUAUUAGAGCUAAUUAAAAGAUAGACAUCUGGUUGCUGGCAACAUUUUCACAAAAAUACUAUUUAUUGUUCAUUUUUAGAGUUAUACUAAUUUUAGAAAUUAUAUUCCAUAAAUUACAAGAGUGUAUAACUCUGAAUGAUGGAGCAUUGGCACAGGUUGCCCAGAGAGGCUGUGGAGUCUCCUCCCUGGAGAUCUUCAAAAGUCACCUGGACAUGGUGGUCCUGGGCAACCUGCUCUGGGUGUUCCUGCCUAAGUAUGGGUUGGACAAGAUGGCUUUCAGAGGUCUUUUCCUACCUCAAACAUUCUGUGAUUCUGUGGCUUAAUUUUGUGUAAGAAUUUGGAAAUAUGCUACAUUUAUUACAAAAAAAAAAAAAAAAGAUUUUUUUAAUGUAAAACUCACUGCAGUAGUCAAAAAUGUAAAAAUGUUUGUAAUGAUUUGUUAUUCCUUCUCUUCCAUAUGAUGUAAAGUGAGACUCAGCUGAGAAUAUUUUCAAAAUCUACAUAUUGCCAUAAUAAAUAAAUCAUCUUUCAGAAGAUAAGCAUUGAAGGUGAUCCUCUGAAUUGUUGAACUCAGGAAAUGAAUGCUUGUUUCUGUAGUCAAUUUGGUUACAAUAGUCAUCGAAUUUCACUUCAGCAAUGGUUAGAUGGCUGUCUUCAUUACUAUUACUCAGGAGAUUUCUUCAGAUUCUCACUUCUUAUAAUUGGAAAACCUCAAAUUUCCAGUCUAAUUGUAUUAAUUUCCAGUUCAUACUCUUUUUCUUUGAAAAGCUCUUUAUUUGAUCUCAAAUUGUGACUUGAUGACUAAUUUUGAGAGCUAUGAUGGGAAUCCAUUAUCAACUGUUCAGAGAAAUGCUCUCAAUGCCUUGCCUAAUUUCCACAACUUGAAAUAUAGUGUCACUAUUUCUGUUCUCUGUCUAGUAGACAUCACGGAAAGAGAGAGCCAAAAGAACAUUUAAAGAAUGAGUUUUUAGAUAUUUUAGCUUAAGACUCGAGUGAUGAUUUCAACCAAAUGGAUAGAUGCUAGGACAGUAGGAGCUGAAUUUAAUUGCUGAAGGUGAUGUAAGAUGCACUUUAUUUCUUUAUAUGGUGAACACAUCACACUGAAGGGAAACAGAUCACUUUCACUGCAGUGAAGAGAAGCAUGUAAGAUAUUCUCUUGAAAACUGCCCAUCCUAUUUCUCAACUUGAUUAAAAAAAUUCUAUUGAGUUUGUUUUUCAGUGGAAAUUUGAAUGUUUGACUACAUACAUAUAUUUUUUCUGAGGUAUCGUGUGCUUCCUGGAAUUCUUAUAUGGCUAUCUUUCCUUUGAAAUUAAAUUCUGCUGUUGUGUGGUGGAACAUAAAUUUUAAUAUCCAUUCAUACUGACAAUCUGAUUUUCAAAAGAAAAAGCCUUUCCAGGUACAGGAUGUCUUCAAGGCUGAGAUAGAUACUUCUGUGUUACACACAUAUGUUGAGAAUGGUCAAAAAAUUCCAACAAGAAAGGGCACUAACAAUUUUUACUUGAGGGUUAUUAGGUGAGAUCUUUAAAGAAAAAUGAAUUGAAGAGCCUUUGACAUCAAUCAUGUUGUUCACCUCCAUUAUUUUUUCAAAGAUCCGUUCUGCUCUCAGUAGAAUUGCUUACAUGGUUUGUAGAAUCUCACUGUCACACAUAUCUCUCAGAUACAAUUUUCCCUCUACAGUGAAUGGAUGAAGUCAGAAACAUUUCCCAGCCAGGGAAAAACCCUGACCCACAUUUUUGUGACAUCAAAAAAAAAAAAAAAAAAAAAUUGUUAUCAGGUAGUAUGGCAUGCUUGUAGAAAGAUGCUGACUAAGCCCUCAGAAGGGCUUAGUGUACCCAAAACACUUGCUAUUAGGAUCCAGGAAGAGUGGAACAGGCAGCAUGAAAAUGCCAAGUAUAUUUGGACAGGGAAGAAUGAUAGGUGAAUACCAGCUGUCUACUCCCUUGGCAACAAAAGGAAAGGUAGAAAGAAACAGAUUUUUAGCUUUAGGCAAUUCUGAGUAACAGACCUAGGAACUGAAGAGGUGUGGCUUAUCUUUUUAUUGAGACAUGUCUCCACUGUGGGGAAAGAAAUGUUGUUUUUUUGCAUAAGUAUGAGAUGCUAUGACUCCAAAGAGGCACCAUGGAGCUCUGAUACAAGAUAAAUUCCUGCUUGCAGAAUAGAAGAUCUGCAUUUUUGAAUAACAUCAGGAGAUGUACUGGUAGAAACUGGUUCUGCAGUUUGAAUAAUAGUCAGAGGGUAAGGUCAACUUUGAUAGGUUAUUCGAGCAUACCAUAAAUAAGGUUAGGUAAAAACUAAGCAAGAAUAGGAGGAGAACAGUUAACAAAGCAAUAAACAGGAGCAGAACAUCCGCUGAGGGAAUUAGAAGAGUCAGAUAGGAUGUAAAUAGUAGAGUACUCAACCACUGAGGAAAUAGGAGAGGAAAUUUGUGCCAGGAAGUAGGAAAUACAAAUUGUUACAUCUCUGGUUGGUUCAUAAGGUUGCCUGCUCUUGCAAAAGCGUGAAAUAAAUUGUGAUUCAUAGCAAAUUCUACCUGAGCCUGGACUACUGAACACAGGUAUUUCUCACACCAUGAACUACUGUAGUGAUGAUAAACAUUAUGUUAAAUUGAGAAAAUCAAACAAAUGAACAGAUUGACCCCAAAACACUCCUUUCCUUUGUGUUUUGUGUGGUAAUAGUUACAAUGAUUCACAGAUCGCAAAAUCAGAACAGCUGUCUCUCUGGAGAUGCUGGGGGGCAGGGGAGCAUUUUACUUCUAUGCUUCUGCUGUAUGAUAGCAAAACUAGUAGAUAGUCUUUACUUUUGCAGUGGUAAAUGGAUUUGAAGCAGCAACAUUCCCUAUAAAGGAUUGCAAGAAACAAAGAAACCCAAAAUUCUUCAGAUUAAAAAGCAAGAUGAAUUUUCUCAUGUACCCAAAAUUCUUCAAGCUGUCCUUGUUAAGUCUCUUACAUCCAGAUUUUCUCUAUAUUCGUGACUGUUGCAUGACCGCUGAUUAAAAGUAUAAGGGUAAACAAUUGAAACAUCCAAUAAGGUACACUUUUCUGUAACUAAUGUUUUCAUUGACUUAGAGACAGUUAUGGCACAGGAUUUUCAUUUUUAACAUGCCUACAGUAAUUAUCCAUGUUUCACAGGUGUUUAUUUAUUGUUUAAUUAAAGUGUUUUUCAGAGGAUAAAAAAGACCAUUAGGAUAAAACAUUGUGUCAAAACUAAUAAGUUACAAUAAAGUUCAAGCAUGGAAAUGCCUUCUACUGGCUUCUCUAUGUUUAUUGUCAAGUUCUGCUAGCAAGCUUCAGAUAAACAGAAUAUUAUGUUAAUCUAAAGUAAUAAUCUCUGUUUUACUUUCAGCUGGGAUGCAGUUGUUUUCCUCAGAGUGUCUGGUAUGACGCUAUGUUUUGAUUUAGGAGAAAAACACUGUUGAUAGCACACCAGUGUUUACAGUUGCUCCUAAGCAGUGUUGUACAGAGACAAGGCCAUUUGCAGUGAAGGGCCCAAGGAGCUGGGAGGGAUCAGAAUUAGGACAGCUGACUUAAACUGGCCAAAGGGAUAUUCCAUACCAUAUGAAAUUGUAUGGAAAGAUUUUUGAAGAGGGUAGGAGUUCAUCUCUCUCUCUCUUCUGCUACCUGGGGAUUUGCUAAGCAUUGGUCAAUGGGUGGUGAGCAGUUGCUUAUGCAUAGCUUGUUAUAUAUAUUCAUAUAUACAUAUACAUAUAUAUGUGGUGUUAACUAUUUUGCUAUUCAUUUUCUCUAUCCUACUAAACACUUUUAUCUCAAACCAUGAGUUUUAUUUUUUUUAUUUUUCUUUUUCAAAUUCUCUCCCCCAUCCCACUGGGAAGUGGGGACUGCGUAAAUGACUGUGUGGUCCUCAGCCACCUGCUGGAUUAAACCACAGCAGUCAUUAAAGUGUAAAAAUUAGAAAAGAUCUUGAAUUAUUUAUUCCACUUGCCUAACUAGGACAAGAUGUAUUCAUGGACUAGUAUGGUUUGACGUUUGGUAUCACACUCAUGAAGGAGCAGCUUUCUUUACAACGUUGAUUCAGUAAAAGUGGGGAAGAACUGAUUAAAAAGGAAAGGCAGUUAGCAAUGACAAUA
rnacentral:lncRNA from 1 species